rnacentral:misc_RNA from 1 species
GAGAGAAAGACAUAGUUGAGAUGGAAAUUGGUCGAAACUCUACACCAGGAUUCCCAGAUCCUAUUGGUGUCAGGUCAUCUCUAAGCACACUACUCCUUACAAGGCUCCACAAAAAGUCUGAUGCAGUAUUAAAUGCUGAAGAGAAAACUUUACUUACUGUAUUAAAAUGCCAUUAAAAUCACCAGAGUUGAUAUUGGAGCUCAAAACAGAAGGAAGUGUCUAGGGAAGAGAAGGAUUAUCAGCUCUCUGAAGACAACAAAGGAGAGCUCCGAUUGGAGAGUAGCCAUCUCCAAGUGCAUGGUGAAUCUUGAAUAUUAAAAUCCCAGAAGCAUUGCUUGUUGGGUAUUUGAUUAUGUGAAUUUCCCAUAAAGGUUGGCUCUGUGGAAGCUGCUCAAGUGAUAACUUUGAUAAGUAAUCAUCAAGGCACUUGUCGUAGAAUUGAGGUGACAUUCCAGAGGGGAAAAUGGGUAUUUUUACGAGAUUGUUGAGAUUUACAUCCACCUUUCUCCAUCUUUUUUCUCCAUUAUAAUCUUCAACCAGUGCGAAGAGCUGAAGAGCU